AUUCAAGGCGACUAGGGUUCCGCCCGCAUCCAUGCGGGGCCUGGACCGAGAGUCGCCGGCCCCGGCGGCGGGGCUACACGGCGGGAUAAAAGCCCGGGAGAG
rnacentral:sRNA from 2 species